rnacentral:rRNA from 1 species
CAUGCAGUCGAACGAGAAAGUUCCUUCGGGAGCGAUUAAAGUGGCGCACGGGUGAGUAACGCGUAGACAAUCUGCCCUUCAGUCUGGGACAACUUUUCGAAAGGAGAGCUAAUACCGGAUAACAAUGUUUAACCUAAGUUAAGUAUUUGAAAGCUUUAUGUGCUGAAGGAGGGGUCUGCGUCCCAUUAGCUAGUUGGUAGGGUAAAGGCUUACCAAGGCGACGAUGGGUAGCGGGUUUGAGAGGACGAUCCGCCACACUGGAACUGAGACACGGUCCAGACUCCUACGGGAGGCAGCAGUGGGGAAUAUUGCACAAUGGAGGCAACUCUGAUGCAGCAAUGUCGCGUGAGUGAAGAAGGCCCUUGGGUCGUAAAGCUCUUUUAUGGGGGAAGAUGAUGACGGUACCCCAAGAAUAAGCACCGGCUAACUACGUGCCAGCAGCCGCGGUAAUACGUAGGGUGCGAGCGUUGUUCGGAAUUACUGGGCGUAAAGGGCGCGCAGGCGGAAUAGCAAGUCGGAGGUGAAAGCCCGGGGCUCAACCCCGGAGGGUCUUUCGAAACUGCUAAUCUAGAGAGGGUCAGGGGCCAGCAGAAUUCUUGGUGUAGAGGUGAAAUUCGUAGAUAUCAAGAGGAAUACCGGUGGCGAAAGCGGCUGGCUGGGGCCACUCUGACGCUGAGGCGCGAAAGCGUGGGGAGCAAACAGGAUUAGAUACCCUGGUAGUCCACGCCGUAAACGAUGAGCACUGGAUGUCCGGAGGGUUCGACCCUUCUGGGUGUCUCAGCUAACGCAUUAAGUGCUCCGCCUGGGGAGUACGGUCGCAAGACUAAAACUCAAAGGAAUUGACGGGGGCCCGCACAAGCGGUGGAACAUGUGGUUUAAUUCGAUGCAACGCGAAGAACCUUACCUGGUCUUGACAUCCUCGGACCGCUUCAGAGAUGAAGUUUCCUCUUCGGAGCCGAGUGACAGUGCUGCAUGGCUGUCGUCAGCUCGUGUCGUG